rnacentral:rRNA from 1 species
CGUGUUUGACGUUAGCGACAGAAGAAGCACCGGCUAACUCCGUGCCAGCAGCGCGGUAAUACGGAGGGUGCGAGCGUAAUCGGAAUUACUGGCGUAAAGCGCAUGCAGGUGGUUUGUUAAGUCAGAUGUGAAAGACCCGGGGCGUCAACCUCGGAAGUUGCAUUUGUAAACUAGGCAAACUAGAGUACUGUAGAGGGGGGUAGGAAUUUCAGGUGUAGCGGUGAAAUGCGUAGAGAUCUGAAGGAAUACCGGUGGCGAAGGCGGCCCCCUCGGACAGAUACUGACACUCAGAUGCGAAAGCGUGGGGAGCAAACAGGAUUAGAUACCCUGGUAG